UUGCUACUUGGAUACCUGUGGUAAUUCUAGAGCUAAUACAUGCUAAAAACCUCGACUUCGGAAGGGGUGUAUUUAUUAGAUAAAAAACCAAUGCCCUUCGGGGCUCCUGGGUGAUUCAUAAUAACUUAACGAAUCGCAUGGCCUUGCGCCGGCGAUGGUUCAUUCAAAUUUCUGCCCUAUCAACUUUCGAUGGUAAGAUUUUGGCUUACCAUGGUUUCAACGGGUAACGGAUUAUAAGGGUAAGAUUCCGGAGAGGGAGCCUGAGAAACGGCUACCACAUCCAAGGAAGGCAGCAGGCGCGCAAAUUACCCAAUCCCGACACGGGGAGGUAGCGACAAGAAAUACUGAUGCAGAGCUCUUUUGGGUUUUGCAAUUGGAAUGAGUACAAUUUAAACCCCUUAACGAGGAACAAUUGGAGGGCAAGUCUGGUGCCAGCAGCCGCGGUAAUUCCAGCUCCAAUAGCGUAUAUUAAAGUUGUUGCAGUUAAAAAGCUCGUAGUUGAAACUUGGGCCUGGCUGGCCGGUCCGCCUCACCGCGUGCACUGGUCCGGCCGGGCCUUUCUUUCUGGGGAGCCGCAUGCCCUUCGUUGGGUGUGCCGGGGAACCAGGACUUUUACUUUGAAAAAAUUAGAGUGUUCAAAGCAGGCCUAUGCUCGAAUACAUUAGCAUGGAAUAAUAGAAUAGGACGUGUGGUUCUAUUUUGUUGGUUUCUAGGACCGCCGUAAUGAUUAAUAGGGAUAGUCGGGGGCAUCAGUAUUCAAUUGUCAGAGGUGAAAUUCUUGGAUUUAUUGAAGACUAACUACUGCGAAAGCAUUUGCCAAGGAUGUUUUCAUUAAUCAGUGAACGAAAGUUAGGGGAUCGAAGACGAUCAGAUACCGUCGUAGUCUUAACCAUAAACUAUGCCGACUAGGGAUCGGACGGUGUUAUUAUUUUGACCCGUUCGGCACCUUACGAGAAAUCAAAGUUUUUGGGUUCUGGGGGGAGUAUGGUCGCAAGGCUGAAACUUAAAGACAUUGACGGAAGGGCACCACCAGGCGUAAAUUAAUUCUAUCGCAGUUACUCUGCGCCCUAAAUGGUGGACCUUUCACAAGGAAAGGUCUGGUGAAGAAGUGCCCUUCCCCAGAAGAUCCACCUGGAGUGGUCGCUGGGGGAAAUCGCCAUUCAGUCCGAUCGUCGGGACGAUUGGGCUAUAUACCUAACUUGCGGGAAGUUUCCGAAGGCAACAGAGUACUCCCUGAAUCGAAAGAAGCAGGUUCAGUAACAAUCUUUUACUGCCGUUUUUGAAGGAAUUAUCCGCAGCCACGGGACCUAAGGCACGCUGUCGGCUGCUAUGGUUGGUGGUUCAGAGAUUAGACGGGUAUGGAUAGGCUGCUCCUGAUUAGAACUGUUGCCCACGACAAACCAAUAGUUAUAGUCCGGAGGGCUGUCUAAGCUGUAAUCCAGUCCUCCACCGAAUGGUGGAGGCUACUUCACGGGAGCCUGCGGCUUAAUUUGACUCAACACGGGGAAACUCACCGGGUCCGGACAAAAUAAGGAUUGACAGAUUGAGAGCUCUUUCUUGAUCUUUUGGUUGGUGGUGCAUGGCCGUUUUUAGUUGGUGGAGUGAUUUGUCUGCUUAAUUGCGAUAACGAACGAGACCUUAACCUGCUAAAUAGCCCGGUCAGCUUUGGCUGGCCGCCGGCUUCUUAGAGGGACUAUCGGCUCAAGCCGAUGGAAGUUUGAGGCAAAAACAGGUCUGUGAUGCCCUUAGAUGUUCCGGGCCGCACGGUACGUUCUCUACCCUUCUGCCUCCCCCCGGAUCCCCUUCUUCUACCGUUAUUUCUUUCGCUAACGUUUUACAGCGCGCUACACUGACAGAGACAACGAGUACAUCACCUUGGCCGAAAGGUUUGGGUAAUCUUGUUAAACUCUGUCGUGCUGGGGAUAGAGCAUUGCAAUUAUUGCUCUUCAACGAGGAAUGCCUAGUAAGCGCAAGUCAUCAGCUUGCGUUGAUUACGUCCCUGCCCUUUGUACACACCGCCCGUCGCUACUACCGAUUGAAUGGCUCAGUGAGGCCUUCGGACUGGCCCAGGGAGGUCGGCAACGACCACCCAGGGCCGGAAAGUUGGUCAAACUUGGUCAUUUAGAGGGAA
rnacentral:rRNA from 1 species